rnacentral:RNase_P_RNA from 1 species
AGAGUAGGACGAAUGGCCGCCCGGCACUCAACUUUAAGGAGGUAUGGGCUCGGCCCGUGGUAUUUUCCUAUAUAGGUGAGAUAAGCGCAAUUUCCUGUCCCUUCUUAGAGUUGAGUGCCGGGAGGAAAGUCCGGGCUCCGCAGGACAAGGUGCUGGGUAACGCCCAGUCCCGGUGACGGGAAGGAAAGUGCCACAGAAAACAGACCGCCCGGCACUCAACUCUGAGGGGGUAUCCAGGUGGUUCACAAGAUUACCCAAGUAUUGGGAGAAUCCCGCACGCCACAAAUAUCCCCUUAAAGUUGAGUGCCGGGUAAGGGUGAAACGGUGAGGUAAGAGCUCACCAGUCCCGCCGGUGACGGCGGGAGCUAGGUAAACCCCACCUGGAGCAAGACCAAAUAGGGGAGCGCUUGAGGGUGGUCCGCCCGAGCUCCCGGGUAGGUCGCUUGAGCCCAUCGGUAACGGUGGGCCUAGAUGAAUGGCCAUUACCCGGCACUUAACUCUAAGAAGGGACAGGAAAUUGCGCUGAUCUGACCUAUGUAGGACAAUCCUACAGGCCACCCAGAACCUGCUUAAAGUUGAGUGCCGGGGACAGAACCCGGCUUAUGGACUGCUCUGGCA